AACCGACAGGAGCACAACUCAAAAGCGUAACGGUACCGCGAUUUAAGAUUUUCCUGAAUAAUUUUUAUAUUAUUUUAUUGUUUGUUAAUUUUACAACUUUACCAUAUUUUGCACUGGCGAACAUUUGGUGAAUAUUUGAUUCAAACGGACUGAUAUUGAACACUUCCGCCGUUAAUGUACAAUUAAAUUAAAUUAAAUUCCCAAAGCCAAAGGUAUAAUAAUAACGGACGAGAGUGAUUUCUAAAGGAAGACACUUUUGGGACACUUUGUAUAGAGACUCACUUCAAGAAAACUUUUAAACAGGGAAACGUUCUCUGAGCGUAUAAUGUUCGUAUUCCUUCCUCAUUCUGGACUAUAAGGAAAUCUCGCCCACUCUGGGUCCGUCCCUCCGCUGUAUUUCAGCGCUUUUACACAAUAGAAAAUGAGAGUGGUUUCAACUUUAUAUCCUGUUCUAGCUACGGAUGUACGUAAUUAGCUACAGACAUGACUCUUUAUGGAGAAUUGCUGAAUGCAGUUGCUGAACGGGACAGUUUUUAUUUUAGUGUCUGGCAGACCUUCAUAGACCUUGUUUGGGGAGAAAGCGUCGUUAACGGGAAGUCUUUUUCCCGCCCUAUACAGAUGCACUUUGGGUCGACUUAUGCCACGUGAUUGACUUGGUUUUAUCUCUAAUCGACUUUCCUUACUGAUGAGCUCCGUGUCUAACUGUCUGGUAACUUGCCGUCAGCCCAAUGCAUGCAUGGUAAACUGAAGCGAUCAGGGUAACAAUUGUUGAAUUGUUGAAUUCAGCGGAAUCCACAGACUUCGCUUGGUGCUAUCGUUAACCAACUUUUCCUCAAGUUAUCACAUGAAUGUGUUUGCCUCCUUUGUGUCAUAGAUUUGUUGAUGAUAUCGCAGCGAAGUGUAGAUUCCGCUGAAGAUGUCACUCAAUAAUUGUCAUCCAUCGGCGAAUGGCCAUCGCUUCUGUUUACAAUGGGGCUGGAGACGGAGGGCAAUUUACCAUCUUAGGUACGGAGGCCAUUAAUAAAGAAGGUCGAUUACUAGAGAUAAAACUCAAAUUAUCAAAUUAUUAUCGUUAUUACAUUAUGAUAGUCAUGUUGAUAUGAAGUACAAGAAUAUUUUGCAUUGUUAAUAAUGUAUAGUUCUCAUUUAGCCAG